rnacentral:rRNA from 1 species
AUUGAACGCUGGCGGCAGGCCUAACACAUGCAAGUCGAACGAGUGGCGGACGGGUGAGUAAUGUCUGGGAAACUGCCUGAUGGAGGGGGAUAACUACUGGAAACGGUAGCUAAUACCGCAUACCAUCGGAUGUGCCCAGAUGGGAUUAGCUAGUAGGUGGGGUAACGGCUGACCUAGGCGACGAGCCCUAGCUGGUCUGAGAGGAUGACCAGCCACACUGGAACUGAGCCCCGGUCCAGACUCCUACGGGAGCCGGGAGUGGGGCAUAUUGCACAACGGGUGCAGGCCUGAUGCAGCCAUGCCGCGUGUAUGAAGAAGGCCUUCGGGUUGUAAAGUACUUUCAGCGGUGAGGCGUUGACCGCGGAAGCAGCACCGGCUAACUCCGUGCCAGCAGCCGCGGUAAUAC